rnacentral:lncRNA from 1 species
ACAAGGGAGAAAUGUGCUAAGAGGAAGGCAGGCUUGGGAAAUCCACACCGUGAUCAACUCCUGCCCGGAAACCCAAGUCCCCAUUGUGGAAGGACGUGUGGAUCCAGAAUUGGCCUCCACAGUCACUUGCGGACUCACUGUUAAGAUCGCAUUCAUGGAAGACAAUCUUACUCGGGUGCGAGCGAUUGCCAAAGAAGAAGAAAAUACUUGUUUAGAUUGAAGAGUUUGUUUAGAUUAGGUCCUAGAGAUAGAAAAUUUCACCCAGACUUCAUAUGAGUUAGGUACAAAAUUUAAAAUCCCUCCACCCUACCCAUCCACUUUAUAAAAAGACCAAAGGCAACUUACAUCAUAAAACUGAGUUUCAUAAUCUGCAUUUCAGACCAGAACUCAGAUUUUGAAGCCAAAUGGUAAAGGUUUGACACUCAGCUUUGCAAUAAUAAAAAGGUAAAGGGACCCCUGACCAUUAGGUCCAGUCGUGGCCGACUCCGGGGUUGCGGCGCUCAUCUUGCUUUAUUGGCCGAGGGAGUCGGCGUACAGCUUCCGGGUCAUGUGGCCAGCAUGACUAAGCCAAUUCUGGCAAACCAGAGCUGCGCACGGAAACACCGUUUACCUUCCCGCCAGAGCGGUACCUAUUUAUCUACUUGCACUUUGACGUGCUUUCGAACUGCUAGGUUAGCAGGAGCAGGGACUGAACAACGGGAGCUCACCCCUUCACGGGGAUUCGAACCGCUGACCUUCUGAUCAGCAAGUCCUAGGUUCUGUGGUUUAACCCACAGCGCCACCCACGUCCCAUUUUGCAAUAAUAGUAAUAAUGCUAUAAUUUGUAUAAUUUGUGCCCUGCCCAUCUGACCAGGUUGCCCCAGCCACUCUGGGCAGCUUUCAACAAAAUAUAAAAACAGUAAGUCAUACAUCAAACAUUUAAAACUUCCCUAUUCAGGGCUGCCUCCAAGUGUCUUCUAAAAGUCAGAUAGUUGCUUAUUUCCUUGACAUCUGAUGGGAGGGCGUUCCACAGGGCAGGUGUCUCUACUGAGAAGGCCCUCUGCCUGGUUCACUUCUGAUGGCUGAAUUCCCCCUAGAAGGUUUUGGAAUCCAUAGACUGGACUGGCGCACUUAGAAAAUUGAGUUUUUGAUUCAAAAGUCACUCAGCCUGGAUUUGAUGUGUAUUUCUUUUUGCGGGGUGUGUGUUUGUGCUGUUUGUCUCCAUUGGAUCACGUGAUAAGCGCUGAGGUCUCUUUCAGAAAUGAGUCAUGAGGAGCAAGCUUUAAUCUGCAUACCCGGGCAGAAUGCAAUGCACAAUGCACAUAAUCUGAUGUCUUCUUAUUCAGAAGCUGUUUCCAUGAAAUGCGGAAAACGCACCCAUAUUAGCUCUUUUAAUCUGCAUCUAUUCUCAGUGCUUUAAUUUUGCAAUCCCCAUUUCCAUCCCUUUCUUUGAAACCAGGAGGGACGGGAACCGUGUUUUUGGAACAGGAAUUCUGCUCAGGAUAUACAGGUCACUGAGCAGCCUGACCCUGAACAAUUGUUUGCAUUCCAGAAAUAGAAUUUAGGAGGUCACAGACUGAGUGUGUUCAUCAUGACCUUGCCAUCGACAAAAUGGAACACAGAUAUAAAAUCCUUCCUUAAAUAGGUAUGUGUCUGUGGAAAUUAAGCAGUCCCGAUUCAGUCUUGCCACUUGCAUGAGCUCGCUAGUUUGCCUCAGACUGCCAUUCCGUCUUCAGCUUUGGGGUCAACAAACUGACCAGCCUUACAGGGUUGUUGUAAUGAUUACAGAAGAUGGGGUAUGUGGAACGCUUGAAAUACUCCAUGGGCUAGGGUCAAGUCAUACUGUGUGAGUGCAAUGGAGGAAGGGGAGAUUUUGCCUGUUGCUCAGUCUUCGCGUUAGAAUGUUAAGCAUUUUGCGCUUGGAGACUCUGCAGAUUGCCCAGGCGGUAUGCAAAAUGAACACGGAAGCUUUGCAGAUCCCCCAGGCGAUGUACAAAACAUCUCUGAUCCGUUCGUUCACGUUCUCCAUCUUCCGCUGAGCCAAAUCGACUGUGCAAAAUGCAAAGUCCCCCAUGGACCCGGUUAGCGUUAUGAAUGUUCCCUGUGUGUCCACACGAGUCACUUGGGUUUGUGCUUGUUCACAAGCCAACACGCGUUCACCCCAGCAGGUGCACGAGUGUGUGGGUUUUAGGAGUCCCCCCCUAACCUGUCUUACUGAGGCCAGGCUGAGAAUCUCCCAUGUGUGGAAGGCAGCGCAGGCGUAGGCAAAGUGAUGCUCUGCAGAUGUUGUUGGACUACAACUCCAAGCAGCAAGGCCAAAGUUGAGGGAUGGCAGGAAUUGUAGUCUGGCAACCUCCUCUGGGCUAGCUGUGGUGCAGGAUCACAGAUUUGUUGUUGUUUAGUUGUGUCCGACUCUUCGUGACCCCCUGGACCAGAGCAUGCCAGGCACUCCUGUCUUCCACUGCCUCCCGCAGUUUGGUCAAACUCAUGCUGGUAGCUUCGAGAACACUGUCCCACCAUCACGUCCUCUGUCGUCCCCUUCUCCUUGUGCCCUCCAUCUUUCCCAGCAUCAGGGUCUUUUCCAGGGAGUCUUCUCUCUCAUGAGGUGGCCAAAGUCUUGGAGCCUCAGCUUCAGGAUCUGUCCUUCCAGUGAGCACUCAGGGCUGAUUUCCUUCAGAAUGGAUCGGUUUGAUCUUCUUGCAAUCCAUGGGACUCUCAAGAGUCUCCUCCAGCACCAUAAUUCAAAAGCAUCCAUUCUUCGGCGAUCAGCCUUCUUUACCACAGACAAAAGUAGACAUCUGUUAUUAGCUCCUGUGGAUGUUCUCGGUUACCGUAGGCAUGCAACCUCUUGGCUGUUGCAAAACUAAGGACUUUUGUGUUUGACUAGUGACUGCCAUGUAAACCCGUCACAAAGGACUGGAAGGAAGAACCUCAUAACUGAUGGGUGGGACCUAACUUUAAAAGGAUCGGACAAAUUCAUGGAGCAGAGGGCUUUCAAUGGCUUCUGGCCACAGUGGCCAUGCUCUGCUGCCACAGUGGGAGGCAUCAAUGCUUCUGUUGCUGGAAACCACAGGAGGGGAGAGUUGCUCUUGUUUUCGAAUCCUGAUUGCAUGUUUCCCACAGGCAUCACGUUGGUCCCUGUGGUCUGAUCCAGCCCCCUCUUCUUCGGCUUUUAAUUUGCUGCCUGAUCGUGUGUGCAUGUUUACACCAAAGCUGCCUCACCACAUUCAACGGGGCUAGGUAAGUCGGCUCUCUGACAUCUGGGAAACCCUGCUAUAGACCCCUGGUCAUUAUGGGAUGGAUGAUUCAGCAUCAGAAACAAACUGACGAUAAGCAAGUCCCGUCCCCCCCAAAUCAUAGCUGUCAGCGUCUCUCUUUUUUUAAGGGGAAUUCCCUUAUUUCGAAUAGGAUUCCUCGCAAGAAAAGGGAAAAGUUGACAGCUAUGCCCCAAAUACCCAAAGUUAGUUUGGCAGCACUUCUAUGCAAGAAUGAGAUAUGACACUCGCCCACCCUGACACAAACCAAGUUUACUUCCUGCAUUCUCAAAAGAGCCGUGAUGCUCACUGAUCUCCCUUGGUCUUGUUUUGAGAUUCGAACACUCGAAGGGGUGGAAUUGUUUAUAGCCCUCUGGUAGGCUUCUUCAACAUGGCUCCUCUCCCGGGUCAUAACUGUCAGCAGCUGACAUUUGCAAGACAUCAAGAGGGCAGCGUGGUGGGGAAGGCUUCUCUGUGGCUUGGAAGGGAAGACAUUCCCUAUCUUCUCCAAAAGGAAUGUGCAUUCCUGGACCUCUGGUAUUGUUAAGUUUUGAGGGGUGUUCCUGAUGCACUGUUUUGUUGACGAACACCACGAAACCUGCGUCAGACGUAACCUGUUAUGUGUAUCCAAAAUGGCACUGGAAAUGCAUUUUGGGGCUAAGGAUACACAAUAGAGAAGCUUUGCUUACGGCGUUAAUACAUUCAUAUUCCGUUUAUCCCACUCUCGCCUCUGGUCAAAUAGGUUGUGCAGGUUUCUGGAGCACCGCAGCAGAAACCUGCCAGGCCUGUUUGACCAAGCUGAAAGUACAUUGCCAUGAACAGUGCUUCCUCUUCCUAACUCCUUUCAUUCCUUGUGCCUAAAAGGCAUAUAUUGAUUAAUUGGUUCCUGCUAUGGGAAGCAGCUGUUUUGAAUUCUGAUUCUAGUUCUCAGUGAUGUGUGUGGCCUGCUGUGUGUACGCAACCUUGCUGCAAAGAACUUAUGUGCAAAGGUUUUUUUGCUUUCCCAAUGGCUAGCUUCGCCACAAAGGAACAUAUCUUUUGUGCAGGUCUUGGGUAUAGGAGCCCGAUUUCCAAAGAGGUUUCACUCUUCCUGGGAAGCACACAAUCUGCCAUGAAAAGCCCUCCCUGCUCCUUAAUCCUGUGUGUUGAGAACAUGCUGUGGUUGCUCAGUGGCGUGCGCUCUGCACAUGUUCAGUGGCAUUUCCCCCUCCAAAACGAUUCACAUAUCCCAGGACUUGGUUGUGACAUCAUAUAGAUUUCCUGGGCUGAGGCUUGACACGAAAUGAAGCCCAGGCUGGGUACCGAAAAGUGAACAUUUGGAUAUUCGUGGAAUGUGGCUCCCACAUCAUCACCAAAUAUAGCGGCUGAUGUAAUGGGGGAAGCAUUUCUGAAAACCUCCACGGUCUGCCUUUGCAGUGUUGCGCUUGUGGUUGUUGUUGUUGUGGUUGCAUGGAAAACACCUUAAACAGAAUGACUUUGGAGCGGAAAAGGCUGGCGCUAGCAAGUCUCUCUUUCCAGUGACAACCGCUCCUCCCCAUCUCAAAGUUUAACUCUCUUGCUGACCUCCUUGGCUCCCGAAGACUUACUGUAAAUAUUGGUAUAUAUCGCCUCCUCUGUACAUAACGCCCUCGAGUCUUGAUUGUCGAUACGGAUUUAAUGGCAUAUUUUUAUAUACUUGUUUAAGUUUUCACCGGCACAAGCGAGGGUGGCGACACACAGUCUUUUAAGUUAUGAUGACAACUCUUAAGCGUUGAAUUGAAAGACGAGGACAAAACAGGGAAGAGCAAAGAAACAGAACAAAAUUCCUUGCCCAAAACGUUACCAAUUCCAGUGAGAUGUUAACAAUUAUUAGUCCUGGGGUUUUAUUUUAUUUUUUCCUUUUUCGUCACUGUGGGUUCCUAGUCAUUAAAGGUCACUGGUGUCAGAACCC